CUCCCUGAAGGGCCGUCGAAGACUACGACGUUGAUAGGUUGGGUGUGUAAGCGCUGUGAGGCGUUGAGCUAACCAAUACUAAUUGCCCGUGAGGCUUGACCAUAUAACACCCAAGCA
rnacentral:rRNA from 1 species